ACCCACUUGUCUCCUUUCCCAUCCGACCUAAACACGGGUCUAAGUGGUUAUAAAAGGAGGAAAGUCAAGUUGAAACAGAUUGCAAUUUUUGCGUGACACAUGAGCUGGCUUCAAACAAAC
rnacentral:snoRNA from 1 species